rnacentral:lncRNA from 1 species
CCAGCUCUCAUAUCAAUAUCAUCAUCAAGGAUCUUCAAGUCCUGAUGUAGUUGUAUGAUGAGGAUCAAGAAACUUCUGGUUCUGAUCUGUAUCCUUGUAAAAAAACUCAUCAUACCACACAAUUAAUCCAUAAAAUAAAUUGCUUGUAAAUUAAAUUAUUGGUAAAUGAAUUGCUUGUAUGGACGAUAAACCCGCACCAUACGUUAAAUAAAAGUAAAUGUGCGGUAAAGUAAAUUCAUAAAGUAUGAGGGUUAAUUCCUCAUCAUACUUUAAGUAAAAGUAAAUGUGCGAUACAAUAAAUUGCUUGCUAUAUGGACGUUAAUUCUGCACCAUAUCUUAAAUAAAAUUAAAUGUGCGGUAAAAUAAAUUGCUUGCUAUAUGGACGUUAAUUCUGCACCAUAUCUUAAAUAAAAUUAAAUGUGCGGUAAAGUAAAUUCAUAAAGUAUGAGGGUUAAUUCCACAUCAUACUUUUAAAUAAAAAGAAAGGCGUGGACGAUAAACCCGCGCCACCCUUUUAAAUAAAUAUUGUCGUAUGGGUAAUAAAACUACACCAUACAGUAAUUAAAAUAAAUAAGGGGUUAAAACCACCACCGAAUAAAAUAAAAAAAAUGUUAGUAUUAGUAACGGUCUCCCACUGAUAAUAUGUUUAGUAUUACCAAGGGUCCAUUUUUGUUAGUGGUUAGUAAUAGAAAAGUGAAUAGAUAUAGCAUAUUAUAUUACCAUCAACUUUUCAUAUAU